GGGCCCGUAGUUCAGUGGUAGAACACGUGACUUUUAAUCACGGUGUCGCAAGUUCGAUCCUUGCCGGGCCCACCA
rnacentral:tRNA from 4 species